rnacentral:lncRNA from 10 species
UUGUGCUUGCCUAGAGACAUACCCACAGCUGCAUAAGAGAAGAAGAAUUGCACAGACAGCUUUACUGGGUGGGAAGUUGACACUGUGGGACCAUGGUCCUUCCUGUUGAAUCUAAGCAGGCCUGUGACUACAGUGGAAGGGAAGCUACCUGACUUCCAAGGCUGACUCAUAACAAGUGGCCAUCAUGGCGUUAAUCUUAUCUCCAAGGAGAAAAAUUGGGAAGAGAGGCCUAGAUUCCUCAACAGAAGCGGGAAGGAAAGGUUUGCAGAAUGAAGAGUGUGAAGUGAGGUUUGUGGUUUGAAUCAUCCGAAUGUCAAGGAGAAAAGAAGAAAAAUGAAUCAUCAUCAUUUGACCACGGUAUUUACAGCUAGCGGAAGGGACAAGAGGAGAAAAAAGCAAGGGAGGAGAUAAAGGAAGAACGUCUCAGAAUAAAAUUGGGGUGGGUGGGGGGAGGAGGAGGAAGACAGUCUAAGAAAUUGGUUUGGUUGCACCAGUACUGGCCACAACACAAAAAUUUGUCCAUUCCUGGUU